GGAUGACUUGUGGCUGGGGGUGAAAGGCCAAUCAAACCGGGAGAUAGCUGGUUCUCCCCGAAAGCUAUUUAGGUAGCGCCUCGUGAAUUCAUCUCCGGGGGUAGAGCACUGUUUCGGCAAGGGGGUCAUCCCGACUUACCAACCCGAUGCAAACUGCGAAUACCGGAGAAUGUUAUCACGGGAGACACACGGCGGGUGCUAACGUCCGUCGUGAAGAGGGAAACAACCCAGACCGCCAGCUAAGGUCCCAAAGUCAUGGUUAAGUGGGAAACGAUGUGGGAAGGCCCAGACAGCCAGGAUGUUGGCUUAGAAGCAGCCAUCAUUUAAAGAAAGCGUAAUAGCUCACUGGUCGAGUCGGCCUGCGCGGAAGAUGUAACGGGG
rnacentral:rRNA from 1 species